rnacentral:rRNA from 1 species
AUUGCCUCAGUAACGGCGAGUGAAGCGGCAAAAGCUCAAAUUUGAAAUCUAGCACCUUCGGUGUUCGAGUUGUAAUUUGAAGAUGGUAACCUUGGGUUUGGCUCUUGUCUAUGUUCCUUGGAACAGGACGUCAUAGAGGGUGAGAAUCCCGUCUGAUGAGAUGCCCAUUCCUAUGUAAGGUGCUAUCGAAGAGUCGAGUUGUUUGGGAAUGCAGCUCUAAGUGGGUGGUAAAUUCCAUCUAAAGCUAAAUAUUGGCGAGAGACCGAUAGCGAACAAGUACAGUGAUGGAAAGAUGAAAAGAACUUUGAAAAGAGAGUGAAAAAGUACGUGAAAUUGUUGAAAGGGAAGGGCAUUAGAUCAGACUUGGUGUUUUACGAUUAUCUUCUCUUCUUGAGUUGUGCACUCGUAUUUCACUGGGCCAGCAUCGAUUCGGAUGGCAAGAUAAUGGCAGUUGAAUGUGGCUUCACUUCGGUGGAGUGUUAUAGCUUCUGCUGAUAUUGCCUGUCUGGAUCGAGGGCUGCGUCUUUUGACUAGGAUGCUGGCGUAAUGAUCUAAUGC